rnacentral:rRNA from 1 species
AUUGAACGCUGGCGGCAGGCCUAACACAUGCCAGUCGAACGGUAACAGGAAGAAGCUUGCUUCUUUGCUGACGAGUGGCGGACGGGUGAGUAAUGUCUGGGAAACUGCCUGAUGGAGGGGGAUAACUACUGGAAACGGUAGCUAAUACCGCAUAACGUCGCAAGACCAAAGAGGGGGACCUUCGGGCCUCUUGCCAUCGGAUGUGCCCAGAUGGGAUUAGCUAGUAGGUGGGGUAACGGCUCACCUAGGCGACGAUCCCUAGCUGGUCUGAGAGGAUGACCAGCCACACUGGAACUGAGACACGGUCCAGACUCCUACGGGAGGUAGCAGUGGGGAAUAUUGCACAAUGGGCGCAAGCCUGAUGCAGCCAUGCCGCGUGUAUGAAGAAGGCCUUCGGGUUGUAAAGUACUUUCAGCGGGGAGGAAGGGAGUAAAGUUAAUACCUUUGCUCAUUGACGUUACCCGCAGAAGAAGCACCGGCUAACUCCGUG